AUGACAGCAGAGAGUGGCCGACGAGGGCGCUGCAACUUCGGCGAUGCUGCCUUGAAGAUGUGGGAGCACCGCCGAUGUUGCAAUGGAGCAACGCCGGACGGUCGGAAGUAUAGCCGGCGCUGCAAUGAAGCCUCGCCGGAUGCGCCGGUGCUGCGUUGGAGCUUCGCCGGUGCUGCAAUGGAACUUCGCCGGACCGCCGGAAGCAUAGUCGGUGCUGCAAUGAAGCCUCGCCGGAGCUGUAAUGGAGCUUUGCCGGUCGCGCCGGUGCUGCUAUGGAACUUCGCCGGACGCGCCGGUGCUGCGUUGGAGCUUCGCUGGAAUUCUUCGGUGCUGCGUUGGAACUUCGCCGGACGACGGCAGUGCGCCAUGAAAGCUGCGCUGGAGCUUUUGCGAGGAACAGCUGCGUAG
rnacentral:rRNA from 1 species